rnacentral:rRNA from 1 species
GACGAACGCUGGCGGCGUGCUUAACACAUGCAAGUCACGGGGGGCCCGGUAGCAAUAUCGGGCAACCGGCGAACGGGUGCGUAACACGUGAGCAAUCUGCCGAUCUCUGGGGGAUAGCCGGCCCAACGGCCGGGUAAUACCGCAUACGCUCAUCGGGGGACAUCCCCUGGUGAGGAAACCUCCGGGGGAGAUCGAGGAGCUCGCGACCUAUCAGCUAGUUGGCGAGGUAAUGGCUCACCAAGGCUACGACGGGUAGCUGGUCUGAGAGGAUGGCCAGCCACAUUGGGACUGCGACACGGGCCCAGACUCCUACGGGAGGCAGCAGUGGGGAAUAUUGCGCAAUGGACGAAAGUCUGACGCAGCGACGCCGCGUGUGGGAUGAAGCUCGUUCGGGGGUGUAAACCACUGUUGCCAGGGAANAAACUCCUGAUUCGUCAGGACUGACGGUACCGUGGUGAGGAAGCACCGGCUAACUCUGUGCCAGCACGCCGACCGUAAC